GGAUAUGAGGGCAAUCUGGCUGCAACAUCUGUCAUCCAUUGAUUGCCAGGGUUGAUUUGGUUGACCUGGCUGGCCAGACCAAAUCAGGUGUCCCCUUCCUCCCUCACAGCUCCAUUUGUGUCCUUUCCAAAGCUGUGUGGAAGAGGACAACCACCCUGAUAGAAGAGGACCAUUUCCUCCUCAAAGGUAUUGAGUAGCUGCAUUCCCCUGCUAGAACCUGCAGACAAGCUCUCAAUUUGAAAAGCUAAACUUAUUCUUGCUCUUCACUGUUGUUCUUCACUCAG
rfam:Heterocephalus glaber contig88074, whole genome shotgun sequence.